UCAUUGUUGGAACAAGAACAUUUGUGAAUAAGUCCCUCUUCUGUUCCAGCAAGAUAAAAAUUAGUAUCCUGUAAUAAAGAACACAGGCUGUGACUUUUGACUCCGGAAAACCUUGGACUUUCUGUGAAUGCUCUGCAGAGUUGCUCCAUGCACACAGAGCCAAGUGUUCAGGGUUUGCAGAUGCCAGUGAUCCACAUGGACAAAUGCAUGAAUCCUUCAAAUGCUCUGUGGACAAAAAUUUCAGCUGGAUAACGAGGAGAAGCCUGGACAUUAGAGUCCUGGACUCAGGAGAUGCUGAACACAAAUUCUCACAGAUCUGACCACCGUACCUGGUAAAGCUACCGUAGGAUUUGGGCCAAAGCAAACCCUAACAUAGAACUUUACUGUAGAACAGAAAAUGGAUUGGAAGGGAGAAACCUUGAAUUUAAAAUACAGAUAAUCUCUGUAAUCAGAGGUUGGAAGUAUUGAAGAAAUUGACUAUGGAUUUUGAAAAAACA